GAUGAACGCUGGCGGCGUGCCUAAUACAUGCAAGUCGAGCGAACAGACGAGGAGCUUGCUCCUCUGACGUUAGCGGCGGACGGGUGAGUAACACGUGGAUAACCUACCUAUAAGACUGGGAUAACUUCGGGAAACCGGAGCUAAUACCGGAUAACAUGUUGAACCGCAUGGUUCAACAGUGAAAGACGGUUUUGCUGUCACUUAUAGAUGGAUCCGCGUCGCAUUAGCUAGUUGGUAAGGUAACGGCUUACCAAGGCAACGAUGCGUAGCCGACCUGAGAGGGUGAUCGGCCACACUGGAACUGAGACACGGUCCAGACUCCUACGGGAGGCAGCAGUAGGGAAUCUUCCGCAAUGGGCGAAGGCCUGACGGAGCAACGCCGCGUGAGUGAAGAAGGUCUUCGGAUCGUAAAACUCUGUUAUUAGGGAAGAACAAAUGUGUAAGUAACUAUGCACGUCUUGACGGUACCUAAUCAGAAAGCCACGGCUAACUACGUG
rnacentral:rRNA from 1 species